UGAUGACGCAAUGUGAUUUCUGCCCAGUGCUCUGAAUGUCAAAGUGAAGAAAUUCAUCCAAGCGCGGGUAAACGGCGGGAGUAACUAUGACUCUCUUAAUUUCGAUUUUCGACCAAUUUCCUUGACUCCGAUCCCCGCCAGACUUUUCUCUAAGAUUUUGGCUCGUCGACUUGCUCCAUCAGUUCUUCUGGAUCCGGAACAACGAGGCUUUAUCGAGUCCGACGGCAUAGCUCAAAAUACAUUUAUGCUGGACUUUGUUCUAAGACAUUCUCGGGAAAAAGUGAAGAGAACUUUCAUUGCCUCUUUAGAUCUCAAGAAAGCAUUUGACUCUGUUUCUCAUGAGGCGGUGUUCACCGCUUUAAGAGCUCAGGCGGUUGACCCCCGAUUUAUUGAACUUCUAAAGUCUAUUUAUUCUAACAGCACUACUUCAUUUGCGCCUUAUCCCGGCCAGAAGUUUAGAGUUAAGCAGGGCGAUCCGCUGUCUUCCAUACUGUUUAACAUGGUCAUUGACCAGUUAAUAAAGAAAUUAAAGGGUCCGGUAGGCCUGGAAAUUGAUGGUUCGGUGAUGUCGAUCGGGUGAAGAGCAUCCAAAUUACAGACAACCCCAAAUUAUUCUUUGCUCAAAAAUUAUACAAUACGGUUGACGGUGCGGCGCUGGCAAAUAGUGCCAAAGUUAGAAAUCAAAAUCUUUGGGUCCAAAGUCGGAAUAAAUUCCUUUCUGGAAGGGAUUAUGUGAACUUAUUGAAAACGAAGAUAGCCUGCCUUCCAACAGCAGCAAGAUGCGCAAGAGGCAGACCAGCCAAAGACAAAUUCUGUCGGGCUGGCUGCUCAAGGAAAGAGACACUUAACCACGUGUCUCAGGCUUGUCCGCGGACUCACGGUAAACGCAUCCAACGUCAUGAGGCCGUGGUAAAUUAUAUUAAACGUGCAUGUGAGAAUCGUGAUUUGAAGUUAUAACUGAACCCCUGUACAAGACCACAGUCGGCAAUCGAAAACCCGAUUUGCUCGCGAAAAAAGAUGGUAGGGUUCUAGUGAUUGACGCACAGGUCGUGGGUGACGCCGUUGACUUAGAGCGUGCCAAUAACCGUAAAAUCUCGUAUUAUCGGGAUAAUGUUGAUUUGGACAGACAAAUUCAAACGCAGCACGGCUCCCCCGACAUUUCAUAUCUUGGUGCAACAUUAAAUCUUAGGGGCGUCUGGUCGGCGAAAUCUGUUUUUGACCUUGUGGAAAAAUUUAAAGUCUUGAGCCGAACAGACGUCCCCGUAGUUUGCACCCGUGUCUUAUUGGGAACAUUUUCCGGAUUUACGAUGUUCAACCGGUCAACCGCUCGGGCCGCGCGGAGCAAGCACUCAUGAACCUGCACAUCUCGCCUUUUGUCAACAGCGCAGUCUGACGGAUCUCCAACGGACUGGUUCCUUGUAACUUCUUAUUCUUGUCAUUGUGUUACAUUUGUAAUAACUUGUGUAUUAUGUAUUGUCGGUUGACUAACUGUAAAGGGAUCCGGGCCCCCUUGAUAGGCCCGCAAUAUAACCUUUUUCUCUUGAAUAAAGGAUUUUAUUAGCCAAAUGCCUCGUCAUCUA
rnacentral:rRNA from 13 species